rnacentral:lncRNA from 1 species
AGUCAGCCACUCUUUAUCUUUGUACAAGGUCAUGUCUGUCUUGGAGAACUCAUCUCCAAAGAAGCAAGAGGGAGGCUGCGCUGGUAACUCCUGUGGGAAGACUAACUGGGGCGCCAUCACUGGCACCAGCGCACUAUCGCUGUUCCCACACAGGAUGUCAGCCCAUUACAGGGACUAGCCCAGCUCCUGCCUCUAGUGCUUUGGUCUGCUUGAAAACUCAGACAUCAAUAAGGCAAUUAAGUAUACAUAUUGAAUCCUACAAAGCGUGGAUUAUGCAGUACAGCCCACCUCUAGUCUCAAGUAAAAGGAGAGACAGAUCAACAUUUUUCAGGACUUUACAGGACCCCUAA